rnacentral:rRNA from 1 species
UACAGAGACUGCGAGCGUUAUUCGGAUUCACUGGGCGUAAAGGGUGCGCAGGCGGCCAGGUGUGUGGGGCGUGAAAGCCCGGGGCUCAACCCCGGAAUUGCACCUCAAACUACAUGGCUAGAGUACUGGAGAGGGAGACGGAAUUCCCGGUGUAGAGGUGAAAUUCGUAGAUAUCGGGAGGAACACCAGUGGCGAAGGCGGCGACCUGGACGGACACUGACGCUGAGACGCGAAAGCGUGGGGAGCGAACAGG